GAUCCUGGCUCAGGACGAACGCUGGCGGCGUGCCUAACACAUGCAAGUCGAACGGAGAUAUUUAUUUCGGUAGAUAUCUUAGUGGCGCACGGGUGAGUAACGCGUGAAUAACCUGACCCGAAGAGGGGGAUAACACCUGGAAACAAGUGCUAAUACCGCAUAAGACCACGGACCGGCAUCGGUCAGAGGUCAAAGGAGAAAUCCGCUUUGGGAGGGGUUCGCGUCCCAUUAGGUAGUUGGUGAGGUAACGGCCCACCAAGCCG
rnacentral:rRNA from 1 species